CGGGCGGCUCCACCAGUGAGGAAUAUUGCACAAUGGGGGGAACCCUGAUGCAGCAACGCCGCGUGGAGGAUGACGCAUUUCGGUGUGUAAACUCCUUUUAUAUGUCAAGAAAAUGACGGUAGCAUAUGAAUAAGCACCGGCUAACUCCGUGCCAGCAGCCGCGGUGAAUACGGAGGGUGCAAGCGUUACUCGGAAUCACUGGGCGUAAAGGACGCGUAGGCGGGUUGGAAAGUCAGGUGUGAAAUCCUACAGCUUAACUGUAGAACUGCACUUGAAACUUCUAAUCUAGAGUAUGGGAGGGGGAGAUGGAAUUAGUGGUGUAGGGGUAAAAUCCGUAGAUAUCACUAGGAAUACCUAAAGCGAAGGCGAUCUCCUGGAACAUUACUGACGCUAAGGCGUGAAAGCGUGGGGAGCAAACAGGAUUAGAUACCCGAGUAGUC
rnacentral:rRNA from 1 species